GACAGAGGUGCCGAGCGUUAGGCGGAAUCACUGGGCUUAAAGCGUGUGUAGACGGACUUCUAAGUACCUUGUGAAAUCCCACGGCUUAACCGUGGAACUGCUUGGUAUACUGGUUGUCUUGGGCCAUCUAGGGGCUACUGGAACAAACGGUGGAGCGGUGAAAUGCGUAGAUAUCGUUUGGAACGCCAAUGGUGAAAACAAGUAGCUGGGGAUGUGCCGACGCUGAGACACGAAAGCCAGGGGAGCGAACGGG
rnacentral:rRNA from 1 species